GCCAGACUCCUACGGGAGGCAGCAGUGGGGAAUAUUGGGCAAUGGGCGCAAGCCUGACCCAGCAACGCCGCGUGAAGGAAGAAGGCUUUCGGGUUGUAAACUUCUUUUAAGAGGGACGAAACAAAUGACGGUACCUCUUGAAUAAGCCACGGCUAACUACGUGCCAGCAGCCGCGGUAAUACGUAGGUGGCAAGCGUUGUCCGGAUUUACUGGGUGUAAAGGGCGUGUAGGCGGGACUGCAAGUCAGAUGUGAAAACCACGGGCUCAACCUGUGGCCUGCAUUUGAAACUGUAGUUCUUGAGUACUGGAGAGGCAGACGGAAUUCCUAGUGUAGCGGUGAAAUGCGUAGAUAUUAGGAGGAACACCAGUGGCGAAGGCGGUCUGCUGGACAGCAACUGACGCUGAGGCGCGAAGGCGUGGGGAGCAAACAGGAUUAGAUACCCGGGUAAUC
rnacentral:rRNA from 1 species